rnacentral:lncRNA from 1 species
UUCGAUGCCAAGGGCCUGUCCGGCAGUGAUUUCCUCGGUGAGUACUCCACUACAUGCCUUCGUUGAAUCCGGAGAAGAACAUUUAUUACCACCACCAUGCAUGUUCUUGGCUUGGCUUGGGGUUCGUCUGCUAAUGGAGAUUGAUCUGAUUUUACCUGUACUUGCAGGGAUGAUCUAGAUGAUAUAACAAAAGGAUUAUAUAUGCGUUUGUGUGCUUCAGAAAAGGUUACUGCUACAUUCAACUUUUCACCAGAAAUGAUUCGUAUAUCCUGAAGAUGUUGCUAGCGUCUUGAAGGAUUACUUAUAUUUGCUCCCUAAUUUCCUGGAUUAUACGAAGUGAGUUGGAUCAUCCAGGGUUGGCGAAACUGAUAUUCAAAUUUGUUUUGUUCUUUAGACCAGACAUUAGCCCUUUCUCUCUAUUUAACAUAUUUCAAGUUCUCAUGUUACAUUAUACUCCCUCCGUCCCAUAAUGUAAGACGUUUUUUGACACUAAUGUAGUGUAAAAAAAGUCUUAAAUUAUGGGACGGAGGGAGUAGUAAAUAUUCAAUUCACUUCUAUUUUGUAGACAGGUCAUUAGCCUUUUCUCUCUAUUUAACACAUUUCAAGUUCUCAUGUUACAUCAAAAGUACGCUGGUUAGGAUGUUUGCAACAUGUCGUGUGUUGUAAUCUUUGUCCACUGUACAUGCAUAGAUUAAAUACUUUCAUUAGUACUUUUACAUAUUUCAAGUUCUCAUUGUUCAGUUUGUUGGUUUAAUAGAGAAUGUUCCUGAUCCUUACUUUCAUAGGUACAUUUAGAAGUCACAAUAGAGAAGGUUCGUAGCCUUGGCUCCAAAGCUUCAAGCUCUUAUAGAAAUUAGAACUGAGGGCCUUUUAAAAUGAGUCCUGCAUAAUAGUGUUGUUCAGUAGGAUGCAGAAUUUUUGUUUGUCUGAUCGGCUAUCCUUGGUGCUGAUUUACGUACUGAUUUCAUCAUCAUAUGACUACAAUAAAGAAGUUGUGUGUAUAAAUAUUUCUAACUG